GGUACACACUUGGGUUGCAUCUCUCUCAUUUAAAAAAAAGGUCCAGAUCCGCUAUUGUAGAAAUUUUGAAAAUAUAUUGAAGAUUACACAUAUAUAGGAGCAAACCUGAAAUCAUGUUGCACAAUGGAGUCACGCCAUGGGUGAGUAAAAAUGGGGGAGGGGUGUCAAGAAUGAAAAUGUACGCUGACAUUUUUUUUCAAUUUAUAUUUAGAUGUUAUAGCCAAAGUUUAAUUUAGAUUUUUUAGAAUUUACGUUUGCAGAUCUAAAAGAUACGGGAGUACGUGGUAGUUGGGGGGGGGGGGGACAUAUAAAAAGAUCUCCCCUUCCUUCUCUUUGGUUGCAAAAUUUUCUUGAUCCGCCACCAAAAAAAAAAAAAAAAAAAAAAAAUCUUGAAAGGAACUUCUCGGGUCAUUCCGUAAGCUCGGGAAUAUGAAUGUGUUGUAUUUCACUUGCCGGAAAGACUCGAGAAUGUACGAUUGCUAAAACAAGAGUUGUCUUUCUUGAUGAAGCAGAAGACACUUGCGGCGAAAACGAAGAUGGAUGCCGAAUCAGCGUGAUCAGACAGAAAGCUUAUAUUUGCGGAUACUUAGCGAAAAUGACUGUCGGGUACAGUACUAUGACACAAUUUGUGAGGCCAAUCAGCCAGCAACGUCCACCAUUUCUGGACACCCAUUGUCCGAUUUCACCACGACCUGGUGUACAUCUUUUAAAUGUGGAACUGUGACUAUUCACGGUGGUGACUGAAGUCUGGUCAGUCGGCAGGCAGCAGUACUCAAUUUACCGCAUUCCUACAAUCCAACUGAAAUUACGGGUAUUCAGAAUCGGCCUUUAAACAGUUGAUGAAGCCCGCCCUGGUAGAUGGAAUCUGCCGCUUGACCAGCAGCACUGUCCAGAGACAGUGGUUCAGAUGCUGGAUAUAUGACUUUUCCUCAGCCCAUCAUUACCUGCUGGAGUGCUGGUAGAGGCUGAACGCUUUAAUAAAUAUAACUGUGAUCUUGCUGAGAUGUAGUAAUCCAUGGGAAUUUUCCAAAGAAGAUUCAAGAGAACUUUCUGGACCUUAAGAUGUUGACACCCUGCUGAUGGAGCAGAAGCAGAAAGCAGUUCUCUUACCAUCAGAUCUGAUCCAUUUUUGGAGAUAGCCUUUUGUAUGGAGCUGGGUAGCGGUUACUGGAGACGUGCUGUUGAUUGAUGAGGAUAAUUUUCCCGAGACUCUGACAUAUAUUGCAGGACCUGGAUAGCUCUACUGGUGUUCAAAAUGCCAGGACUGUGGAGUGUUGUGAUGUUAUUGAUGGUCAACAGAAGACUGUGACCUUGAAUCUGAAGAUCUGUGAUGAAGACUGGACGUUUGGGGUCACUCUCUGUUACAGUACUACAAAUCUAAGUAAGUACUCAGUAAUAAUGUAAGACUGAACUC